rfam:Brachypodium distachyon strain Bd21 chromosome 1, whole genome shotgun sequence.
UUAGUACUCCCUCCAUCCAACAAAAGAUGUCUCAAGUUUGUUAAAAUUUGGAUGUACCUAGAUAUGAGUUAGUGUAUAGAUGCAUUCAAAUUUAGUCAAAGUUGAGACAUCCUUUGUUGGACGGAGGGAGUAGUUU